UUGUUGGUAAGGUAAAAGCUUACCAAGGCUUCGAUCAGUAGCUGGUCUGAGAGGACGACCAGCCACACUGGGACUGAGACACGGCCCAGACUCCUACGGGAGACAGCAGUGGGGAAUUUUGGACAAUGGGGGCAACCCUGAUCCAGCCAUGCCGCGUGAGUGAAGAAGGCCUUCGGGUUGUAAAGCUCUUUCAGCCGGAACGAAACGGUUACGGAUAACACCCGUGACUACUGACGGUACCGGAAGAAGAAGCACCGGCUAACUACGUGCCAGCAGCCGCGGUAAUACGUAGGGUGCGAGCGUUAAUCGGAAUUACUGGGCGUAAAGCGUGCGCAGGUGGUUUUGUAAGUCAGAUGUGAAAGCCCCGGGCUCAACCUGGGAACUGCGUUUGAAACUACAAGACUAGAGUGUGGCAGAGGGGGGUGGAAUUCCGCGUGUAGCAGUGAAAUGCGUAGAGAUGUGGAGGAACACCGAUGGCGAAGGCAGCCCCCUGGGUCAACACUGACGCUCAGGCACGAAAGCAUGGGGAGCAAACAGGAUUAGAUACCCUGGUAGUCCAUGCCCUAAACGAUGUCAACUAGUUGUCGGGCCUUUACGGGCUUGGUAACGUAGCUAACGCGUGAAGUUGACCGCCUGGGGAGUACGAUCGCAAGAUUAAAACUCAAAUGAAUUGACGGGGACCCGCACAAGCGGUGGAUUAUGUGGAUUAAUUCGAUGCAACGCGAAAAACCUUACCUACCCUUGACAUGUAUCGAAGCCCGCAGAAAAGCGGGGGUGCCCGAAAGGGAACGAUAACACAGGUGCUGCAUGGCUGUCGUCAGCUCGUGUCGUGAGAUGUUGGGUUAAGUCCCGCAACGAGCGCAACCCUUGUCAUUAAUUGCCAUCAUUUAGUUGGGCACUUUAAUGAGACUGCCGG
rnacentral:rRNA from 1 species